GGAACCGGUUUUCCUACUUAGGUGAAAGUUUUCGACUGCGCCGCCCUGGACGAAGACUACAGUGAGCUGCCUGCAGCUGGACUUCGUGACGUCAUCACAGAAGUGGACAACACAGUGGUGAUCCCCACCCCGGGCGCAGUGUUCAAGGCCGGGCCCACAAUGGCUUCCGACUCUGCCAUACAAGCGCAGUGCAAGUACAGUGAAUACUUCAAUGGUAUUGCUCACGUGCCCUAUCCUGGAGACUGCAGCAAGUUCAUUCAGUGCAGCAUCGAUGAGUCCUUCCAGUUCUUGACCAACGUGACAGACUGUCCGUUCGGCACACUGUGGAGCCCUGAGAAGGAAGCCUGUAGCAAGCCUAGAGACGUGG